UGCCAGCAGCCGCGGUAACACGGGGGGAGCAAGCGUUGUUCGGAUUCAUUGGGCGUAAAGAGCUCGUAGGUGGUUCUGCAAGUCAGAGGUUAAAUCCCAUGGCUCAACCAUGGACCUGCCUUUGAAACUACAGAACUUGAGUACGGGAGAGGAAAGUGGAAUUCCGAGUGUAGGGGUGAAAUCCGUAGAUAUUCGGAGGAACACCAGUGGCGAAGGCGGCUUUCUGGACCGAUACUGACGCUGAGACGCGAAAGCGUGGGGAGCAAACAGGAUUAGAUA
rnacentral:rRNA from 1 species